GCUGGGGCUGGAGCGAGGAACCCAUUGGGCACGACCGCACCAACCCUAGCUCCCGAUCCACAGCCACGCACUCCUCCCUCCCCCUCUCACAGCCGCCACACCCCAUUCCUCUCUUCCUCCUCCCUCCUCCUUCCCGAAUCCCUGCCACCACCACACCGAGUCGGCCGAUGGUGAGAUAAAGGAGCAGGGUAGGCGACCCGUCGCGAUGGGAUGAGGCUACAGGGAAGAGGGUCAUGUCGCGUGGUGGCCCAGAUGCGGCCGCCCCAUGGCCGGCCUCGACGAGCACGGCCUUGAUCCGGCCUCAGCCGGAGGACCUCGAGCCGAGGAGUGCGGCCUCGAUCGGGACUCGGCAUCUGGGGGGACGACGGAGGAGGAGGGGAAAGCAGGGGAGCAGCAGCCAGCAUCUGGGGCGGCGGCGGCUGGACUCUUCUCCUGUCUCGCCUCGGCCGCCUCCUCUCCUCCCCGCGUCGUCGGCCCCCUCCUUCGUCCUCAUAGCCGACCAUCUCCGUCACUUGGGCCCCAUGGCAACGGCAGGGUCUUCCGGUCGGGAUUUAGACGAGGAAAAGGUGAAAUCGAGCGUCUCGAUGGUGCCAUGACUGAUACACGGCGACGGCUAGCGUCUGUGAGCGCCACACAUGGUGCAGCAGGCUCGGCGGGCAGUGGGCGCGGCAGGCAGCGGGCGCGGCGGUCAAGGCCAGGGGCGCGGAUUGGGGGAGAUGCGCACACGAGGAGAGAUUGGGGGAGAUGCGCACACGAGGAGCGAUGGCGACCGCUUCUGUUGCCAGCACCGAGGGUUUCAAUGAGGGUUUCAAUGCUAACCCUCCAGUGCAUAUAUUUGCAUGAUGAUGUAAUGUUAGACCAACUUUCUGGUUUAAGUCCAUUGUUUGGCGCCAACGUGCAUUUGGUGUUGAUUGCUGGCUGGCCGACUGCGGUGUGCUACCGGCGAUGAGAUCCAGGAGGUGGCGGCGGACAGGGAGUCGAGGACCUUUUUGCUUGCAUUCUCGUGUCUUUUGGCAAGGAGAAAAUUAUCAUUUGGAGGGGAAAAGACAGAUGAAAACAUGCAAUAUAGUAUAUGCAAUUGACAUACCCUUCAGUUCUUGAAUCAGAGUUCAGUGGUGAAGAACACUACAAUUUUUUGGUUGAUGGAUUGGUCUGAAUAUAUUGUAAGGGAUUUUGCAUGAAGUGGUUAUUCAAAGAAUGGAACCAAUUUUAUGUGAAAAAUACUAUGAUUAAAGCAUACACGAUUUUACUGAAUGGAUAUGGUACAACCUCCAUGAUAUUUGAGUGGUCCAGAAUCAAGAUUCCCUGAGAAUUUUACCCUUCGAUGAACAAUGCAAGAUUUUGCCUAUUCUUUGAGAUGGAUGAUGAUGAGCGGUGCAACCAAAAAUUCAGAGCUGGGCUUUACACACUUCAGUGGAUAAGUGAAGUUCCAGUUUUUCUUCUGUACCCUAUUACUGCUCUCUUGUACAGAGAGCAGUGAGUUUAUAUUGGCUAAAUGUUAGAUUGGAAUGCAGGAGUAGCAUGACAACACCAAGGUAGAGAGACCUGAAGAGAAGCAAGGGGAUGGACCAAGGAAACUAGAACUGUGUUGUCGUGAUGUGGGUCGUGUCGUCUUCGUCCUUCUCCAUGGAGGCAUAUAUACAUAGUUUAGGUAUAGGAAAGGAGACCGUCUCCAUGGAACUCUGACUGAUGUGUAAUGUCCUCAUAGCUAGGACUGGACCGUUUACAGAGGGAGUACUUGAAAAUAGAUUCUUUAUAUAUUUUUUGGUUCCAUCAGCCGCAUAACCUAAAUUAGCAAUUAGGUAUCUAAACAGUGUAGUGUAACCAUUGUGCUUGCUACAGUUUUACUUUAGUGUUGAAAUGUUUUUGUUGGCUUGUUC